rnacentral:rRNA from 1 species
GAUCCCAUCUCGAACUCAGCAGUGAAACGAUUUAGCGCCGAUGGUAGUGUGGGAGUUCCCAUGUGAGAGUAGGACAUUGUCGGGC